GCGUUUUUUCUGAAGAAAGAAGUCCAAUCCUUGGUCGCUUUUAACUCAUUUUAUUAGUUAAAGUAGGCAUAUUUCGGUUUGGUAACUAUGAAGCAUAUUGGAGGGAAUUGUAUCUAACGCGUAUUGAAAAUAAUAUCGAGUACCACUCUCGGCCGGGCUACCUAUUGAUUCUGGCCUCUCAAUCAGAAUUCCGAGCUGUGAUCGUCAAGUGGGCGUGGCCUAUAUGGAGUGGGCGUGGCCGGUGUGACUAAUGGCUCCGCCAUCCUCACCUGUCUAAAGGUGCUGCCAUCUGUGGCUGGAGUAGGUAAUGCAGCUUGUGUGUUCGAUCCUGCUUCCUAGUGGCUAUGUGGGGGCAGUUUAUGUGCUUAAAAUACGUAACAGUGGAAACUCUGGCAGUCUUUCUGAAUCGUUCGAGAAACUCACAUGCAUUUAUGGAUGCAGCGAUUCACCCUCCAAAGGUGAUUUCAAGUACGGGGUCGAUAUAAGCAGUGGUAGUAGUUAACUUGUCAAAUGAUGUCAAACUGUUUGCUUGACCACGUGUAGCAGAAGAGAAUAGAUUUCAGAUGCAUUAUCUUGUAUCCGUGAAGCAAGCCCUAUUGGUUCAACUGAUCCUGGAGAAACGCCAAUGUCCAUCAGAUCUUGAGGCGCUUUCCGUCUGAACAACCCCACAUUUCUGAAGUGGACAAACAUCAUCAAUAUCACUGAUGGACUACCUCCCAAAGUCUAUACUCUGCAGGUGGUGCCUGUUUUAUUCUAUAAAAUCGAGCUCUCAAGUGAAUGACAGCUGCUGCAUUUUGAGGUAUCUCAUUAUUUCCAAAAAACCAAAGCAUAAAAAACUUCUCUCGAAAUUCUGAGAUAAUAAGGUCUUUAAUUCAGAAAUACAGGAGCAGAAUUUAUUUUCUUAAGCAAUGCAUUAUACUUCCGUAUAUCUGUCUUGGACAUUUUCACUCAAACAGGGUAGUCAAUUUAUUAAUGCCUCUGAUCUAUGCACAUAGAUCAGAUAUAGAAAAGGGUUAGACUAUUGGUUAGCACUUGCCACUUGAGGAAAUGUUGAG